rnacentral:lncRNA from 1 species
CAUCAGAGAAGCCACCAUCCUCAGAGAAGUCCUCCACAUCAGAGAAGUCACCAUCCUCAGAGAAGUCCUCCACACCAGAGAAGUCAUCCACGUCAGAGGAGUCCUUCAUGCCAGAGAAGUCAUUACCGCCAGAGGAGACGCCCUUGCCAGAGAAGACGUGUUUACCAGAAGAGUUACCUCCACCAGAGAUGUCAACAUCACCAGAGAAGACGCCUUCGCCAGAAAAGACAUUUCCAUCAGAAGAGCCAACAAACGCGCGGGAAGGUCUCCCGCAUAUUAUCGAAAUUACCAGC